rnacentral:rRNA from 1 species
GAUGAACGCUGGCGGCGUGCCUAAUACAUGCAAGUCGAGCGAACAGAUGAGGAGCUUGCUCCUCUGACGUUAGCGGCGGACGGGUGAGUAACACGUGGAUAACCUACCUAUAAGACUGGGAUAACUUCGGGAAACCGGAGCUAAUACCGGAUAAUAUAUUGAACCGCAUGGUUCAAUAGUGAAAGACGGUUUUGCUGUCACUUAUAGAUGGAUCCGCGCCGCAUUAGCUAGUUGGUAAGGUAACGGCUUACCAAGGCAACGAUGCGUAGCCGACCUGAGAGAGUGAUCGGCCACACUGGAACUGAGACACGGUACAGACUACUACGGGAGGCAGCAGUAGGGAAUCUUCCGCAAUGGGCGAAAGCCUGACGGAGCAACGCCGCGUGAGUGAUGAAGGUCUUCGGAUCGUAAAACUCUGUUAUUAGGGAAGAACAAAUGUGUAAGUAACUAUGCACGUCUUGACGGUACCUAAUCAGAAAGCCACGGCUAACUACGUG